rnacentral:rRNA from 1 species
GUGGUCGUGCGUUUAAGCAUUUAUGGAGAGUUUGAUCCUGGCUCAGGACGAACGCUGGCGGCGUGCUUAACACAUGCAAGUCGAACGGUGAUGUCAGAGCUUGCUCUGGCGGAUCAGUGGCGAACGGGUGAGUAACACGUGAGUAACCUGCCCCCGACUCUGGGAUAACUGCUAGAAAUGGUAGCUAAUACCGGAUAUGACGACUGGCCGCAUGGUCUGGUCGUGGAAAGAACUUCGGUUGGGGAUGGACUCGCGGCCUAUCAGGUUGUUGGUGAGGUAAUGGCUCACCAAGCCUACGACGGGUAGCCGGCCUGAGAGGGUGACCGGCCACACUGGGACUGAGACACGGCCCAGACUCCUACGGGAGGCAGCAGUGGGGAAUAUUGCACAAUGGGCGCAAGCCUGAUGCAGCAACGCCGCGUGAGGGAUGACGGCCUUCGGGUUGUAAACCUCUUUUAGUAGGGAAGAAGCGAAAGUGACGGUACCUGCAGAAAAAGCACCGGCUAACUACGUGCCAGCAGCCGCGGUAAUACGUAGGGUGCAAGCGUUGUCCGGAAUUAUUGGGCGUAAAGAGCUCGUAGGCGGUUUGUCGCGUCUGCUGUGAAAUCCCGAGGCUCAACCUCGGGUCUGCAGUGGGUACGGGCAGACUAGAGUGCGGUAGGGGAGAUUGGAAUUCCUGGUGUAGCGGUGGAAUGCGCAGAUAUCAGGAGGAACACCGAUGGCGAAGGCAGAUCUCUGGGCCGUAACUGACGCUGAGGAGCGAAAGCAUGGGGAGCGAACAGGAUUAGAUACCCUGGUAGUCCAUGCCGUAAACGUUGGGAACUAGAUGUGGGGACCAUUCCACGGUCUCCGUGUCGCAGCUAACGCAUUAAGUUCCCCGCCUGGGGAGUACGGCCGCAAGGCUAAAACUCAAAGGAAUUGACGGGGGCCCGCACAAGCGGCGGAGCAUGCGGAUUAAUUCGAUGCAACGCGAAGAACCUUACCAAGGCUUGACAUAUACCGGAAACAUGCAGAGAUGUGUGCCCCGCAAGGUCGGUAUACAGGUGGUGCAUGGUUGUCGUCAGCUCGUGUCGUGAGAUGUUGGGUUAAGUCCCGCAACGAGCGCAACCCUCGUUCUAUGUUGCCAGCACGUAAUGGUGGGAACUCAUAGGAGACUGCCGGGGUCAACUCGGAGGAAGGUGGGGAUGACGUCAAAUCAUCAUGCCCCUUAUGUCUUGGGCUUCACGCAUGCUACAAUGGCCGGUACAAAGGGCUGCGAUACCGUAAGGUGGAGCGAAUCCCAAAAAGCCGGUCUCAGUUCGGAUUGAGGUCUGCAACUCGACCUCAUGAAGUCGGAGUCGCUAGUAAUCGCAGAUCAGCAACGCUGCGGUGAAUACGUUCCCGGGCCUUGUACACACCGCCCGUCAAGUCAUGAAAGUCGGUAACACCCGAAGCCAGUGGCCUAACCGCAAGGGAGGAGCUGUCGAAGGUGGGAUCGGUGAUUAGGACUAAGUCGUAACAAGGUAGCCGUACCGGAAGGUGCGGCUGGAUCACCUCCUUUCU